ensembl:lncRNA
CCUGAACCUUCCUCAACACAGCAGGAUCCCCCUCCUCGUGUGUGUGCAGAGUCUGGCCUUUCCUUGAUUUGCUAAAGAACCAGGAUUGCUCUUCUCAGUGGCAAAUAAGGCAGAAUUCAAAAUGACUCAAAUCAUCCAGAAGAAGGAAUGAGAGAGUGGACAAACAAAAAUCAUAGAGGGAAACAGAAAGACGUUCAGAACUCUUCAUAAAUCCAGCCCAAGCACACUAGUGACUGCAGCACGCUUGUGAGUGGGUGAAACGCCCUGUCAAAAGGCUGAGACCGCCGGAAUGAGGGAAGGAAAAAGCAGGAUUUAAUCACAGGCUAUGUGAGGACCUAUUUUAAUACAAAGACAUACACUGGUUGGCAGUAAAUGAGCAGAGGAGAGAUAUACCACGAAAACAGCAAGUGUAGCAAGGCUGGAGUUGUCACAUUAACAUCAGGCACGGAGAAGGCGAUGGCACCCACUCCAGUGCUCUUGCCUGGAAAAUCCCAUGACGGAGGAGCCUGGAAGGCUGCAGUCCAUGGAGUCGCUGAGGGUCGGACUCAACUGAGUGACUUCACUUUCACUUUUCACUUUCAUGCAUUGGAGAAGGAAAUGGCAACCCGUUCCAGUGUUCUUGCCUGGAGAAUCCCAGGGAUGGUGGAGCCUGGUGGGCUGCCGUCUGUGGGGUCGCACAGAGUCGAACACGACUGAAGUGACUUAGCAGCAGCAGAAUACACUUGGAGACAAGGAGUGUCGAGAGACAGAGAAGGACGUCUUGUGCUGCUGAAAGGGUCAGUUCAUUGGGAAGACACACCUGUUACUGCGUGUGUGCCUGAGGACAGGCCCUCAGAGUACAUGAAGCCAGUGGGACUUACAGAAGUGAUGGGUGAGGAUGCAAGUAACUCAUUUCCACCAAAAAAAAAAAGUGUGAAACUGGACAAAAUUGCCCAAAUGAACCAAGACAUGGCACGCAGAAUCAACCGGAGAUGGACCACAAGUUGGCAAGCGCUCGCUCCUGAAGAAGCGACGUCUCCAGGGAGACACAUGCACCUGUGGUCUCACCAGGGCUCUUCCAGGCCCACCACACAACGGGAGCUGGGAGGGUGUGCCCCCCGUGCAGGGCGGCUGCCGGCCGUCAGCGGAGGGCCCAGAAGGGGCAGGCUCCGGCGAAAAGCUGUGGCUCACCAGACAUAAUGAUUUGCUGUUCUGACAUCAGAUCAACAGAGAGAAAUUCCAAUUAGGCUUUGAAGACGCACAUAUUUCAGGAACUUGUCAUCCAGCCCUUAGCUCAGCCUUGCGCUCAAAGGCUUCCGUGUUCAGACAGGUGACUCCGUCCUUCCAGCUUGCUUUCUCGCGAGAGGUGAUCGACUGCAGCCCGUCUUUGCUCAGCACAUCUCUCGCUCCCUCUGUGCUGGGGGUGGACUGUCAGCGUCUCCCGAGCCAUUCCAGCAUGGACUUCAUGCACUUUGUCCCAGAGGAGGCCGGGAGCUCCUCCCAUCCACCUUCAGCAGCUGUUCGAUGACCUGCGGCAUUUCUCUGUACUCACUGAGCUUAUAAGCUGUCUACAAGACACCAGAGCAUUUUCUAUCUUCUGAAUUUCCUCCCAUCACACGUGCAAACAGAUCACUCACGAGGACCGGCAAGGCCCCCUCAGACCUUCCAGUUUUCAAAAUGCAUUUGGAAUUGCU